CCAUAGUUUAUAUGCAAUAUAUU
rnacentral:snRNA from 1 species